UACAAACUUCUGUUGUGAGUGGCACACAUAGGACAACUCGACUGCCCUUUGAGUGGAAUCGACAUUAAGAGAUUUCAGAAGCAUAAUUUUUUGGUAUUUGGGCUGCUGGUGAUGGUUGGUCCUGGUGCCCUU
ensembl:snRNA